ensembl:misc_RNA Metazoa_SRP Metazoan signal recognition particle RNA
GCUGGGUGUGGUGGUGCACACCUGUGGUCCCAGCUACUAGGGAGGCUGAGAUGGGAGGAUCACUUGAGCCCAGGAGAUCAAGGUUGCAGUGAGCCGUGAUCAUGCCUCUGCACUCCAGCCUGGGCAACAGAGCAAGACCCCCUCUCAA